GAAAACGGGUGGUAAUGCCGGAUGCUCCAGUUGAUCGCAUGGUCUUCUGGGAAAGCUUUCGCGGUAUGGGAUGGGGUCGCGUCCUAUCAGCUUGACGGCGGGGUAACGGCCCACCGUGGCUUCGACGGGUAGCCGGCCUGAGAGGGCGACCGGCCACAUUGGGACUGAGAUACGGCCCAGACUCCUACGGGAGGCAGCAGUGGGGAAUAUUGCACAAUGGGCGCAAGCCUGAUGCAGCGACGCCGCGUGAGGGAUGGAGGCCUUCGGGUUGUAAACCUCUUUUAUCGGGGAGCAAGCGAGAGUGAGUUUACCCGUUGAAUAAGCACCGGCUAACUACGUGCCAGCAGCCGCGGUAAUACGUAGGGUGCAAGCGUUAUCCGGAAUUAUUGGGCGUAAAGGGCUCGUAGGCGGUUCGUCGCGUCCGGUGUGAAAGUCCAUCGCUUAACGGUGGAUCCGCGCCGGGUACGGGCGGGCUUGAGUGCGGUAGGGGAGACUGGAAUUCCCGGUGUAACGGUGGAAUGUG
rnacentral:rRNA from 1 species